rnacentral:rRNA from 1 species
CGGGAAAGGCUCAAAUUUGUAAUCUGGCGGUCUUGGGCCGUCCGAAUUGUAAACUAGAGAAGCGUUAUCCGCGCUGGACCGUGUACAAGUCCCCUGGAAUGGGGCGUCAUAGAGGGUGAGAAUCCCGUCUUUGACACGGACUCCCAGGGCUUUGUGAUGCGCUCUCAAA